GCUCUCUUUCCUCCUCCUCGUUGCGGCGAUGGUGGUGUUUUUUACCAGUGACUCUGAGCUGCAGAUUUGAUGGCGGCGGUGGUGGAAGAUCCAUCCAUAUCCUAGUUUGAACUGAAUAAAAACUGAAGAGAUUGGAUUUUCACUUCAGCUCAAACUACGAUCUGGAUCUGUAACUCAAAGAAAAAUAAUCAUAUCUUACAAUUUUACUUAGCUAGUCCAUCAUUGGCCUAGCUAACAGGGAUUGCGGUGAUGACUCCAUAAUAUCAAGCUCAACAGACCGGAUUGCAGGCUUUUCUCUGUCGAGGAAAUAUUUGCAUGUCGAUAACCCGCUGAUCUGAGCAAUCUCUUCUUAGUUUAUCGGUGUUCUCCUCAUGUUUAAGAAUGAUUUUUCUAGAAGUUGGGGUUUUGUAUAUGUUUCUUUUGAUUAAGUUGUUUUUAUAAAUUCUUGACUGACUACCAACUCAAACUCCCCCAGAACUGCGCGCUCUCCCUUUAGAUACUGUUUUUUGUGGGUCUCAUGGCUUUCGUGUGAGACCCACCAUUCCCCAAAAGAGGUUUUAAUAACCCUUUAUGGGAGUGGUGGGUCUCACACGAAAGCCAUGAGACCCACCAGAAAAGCAUCUCAUGUGAUGGGAGGUUAUGGAGUAGUUGAAAUUGGAGCUUUUAAGAAUUUUGAUGAUUAUCAAUAUUCAUGUCAGACUUCAUAGGUUUUGGAAACAGACACAUUGUUAUUAGUUUUAGAGAUAACUUUUUUUCUUAUUUCUAGUGUCACUGCAUUGCCUGAGAUUAUAAUGUGCAUUUUGUUUUUAAAAGUCUUGCAAGGUUGAUUUAUGAAUAUUUCACAUGUCAGACUUCAGAGAUUUUGGAAACAAGAUCUAUGAGAAGGCAUUUCAUUAUUCUGAGCAGACACUAGUGGGUUAGACAGAUUUCAUUAGAUAUAUUGAUAUAUUUUUGGUUCAGAAAUUUGAUAUAUUAGAUAUAUUUUUAGGUUUGUUAUUGAUUGUUUAUGAUGAUAAAUCUAAGGCUUGUUUCUCAAGAACAUUCGCAGUUGCUGACUAAGAGCUUUCGCCUUUCGCCGGGCUUGAGAGCUAAUGCUGGUUUAUUCCUUCCUUGGAUAUCUGAAACAUGUUGACAAACUUUUCUUUGUACUUCUCUUCCUUGUAUUUUCUUGAAUCUCUGUUGCCUUCUUUUUAUCGAAAUUGUUCUUCGAUACCUGGUCUGAAGGAUGAAUUGUGAGAACUUUUUUGUUCUUGCCUAGUUCAUUUUUUUUGAAGUAUUGCCUAAUUCAAUGGUGUUCUCCCCA